rnacentral:lncRNA from 1 species
UGCUUUGGGAGAAUAAUUAAGUUUAAUAGGAAUAGGUCUGGAGGGUUUUCAAUGCCAAGACCACAGGUGCGGGGUGGCAUGAUGAAUGAUUUGCCUGAUUUUUGCCAAGCUCAAGGGCUCUUCUCUUGGACUUUCAAGCAGAUAGAAAAUAUUGUCAUUUCUUUUAAUUCACAGCAUUACUUUCAAACCGAACAAAGGCCGGAGCCGGGGGGGAGGCGGGGGAACGGCCCGGCUGUACUGAAGCGCUUCGGAGGCGGAGGUGCAGCCCAAGAGGCUGAGGCGGCAACGGAGCGCGCUGCUGCGUUUGUGCGCAAGUGACACUCCUGUGCCACACACAAAAGGCCUUCUUCUCCCCACCUUCUGCUGCUUUUCAGCCCUCGGGCCCCUGCCAAACCGGCUCAUAGGACGCCCGGGGGCUCCUGGCCCCCUAUCCAGGGCAACUCAGCCUUUGGGACAUCCAUCGCUGCCAAGGCAAACCUCUCCAAACUUUCCCCAAACUCGGACGGCUGGGGAGGGACCCUGGCUGGAGGCGCGCAUGCGCCCCGUCUGCUGCUGCCAGUUCCCAGGGUUCCGGAGAGCCGGGGUGGAGUUGGAGGUGUAGCCCUAGAGGCCUGCCUAACCCCUACUAUACCAAAAGUCGGGGUUCGGGUGCGGUCUGUCCGCCCAGGAGGCAGGAAGCAGCUGCCCGGCACCAGCUCUCCACCAUUUUUCUACCUUUGCGCAUGGAAAUCUCCAAAAAGGGAUCCAAGAAGCGGCGAGUUGAAUUGGGGGUCAUCGGCCUGGAAGAAGCCGGGAAUCGGAGCCCAAGACUUCUUCUAAGGAGGCCCCAGGUCCCUGCGCCCCACUGACCUGGCAGGGAGCCUCGGGCAUUCCUGCUGCUUCAGGUCGGAUGGCCAGGAACGCAGGUUGUUGGCGGGCUGGUUUUGCCUGGUGGCCUGAGCGCCCGCAUUAGCGGCCACAGUGGUCGGGGCACAACCUUCUUGCUGGUCCCAUUUUCGGGCUCUUUGGGGUCUACUGUUGCUUCCCAGAGAGGUUUGGCCUCUGAAUGAUCCUCUCAAAUUAAUGUCAGCAGGUUUCCUGGUGUGUCCACAUCUGUUCCAAACAACCUGUUGCGCUGGCAUUGCGUUGGAAAGGCACUGGCACUUUACUUGAGGGAAGCAGGUUGUGUUGCUUGUCCGGGCUUCCAGGACAGGAUUUAAGGUUCUCUCUUAAUGAGAGGCACCCCUCUCCUCCUCCAGUGAUACCUGGCGUGCUUCAUUCACCCUGUCCUUGUCCCAACAAUUCAAGGCACCUGGGCACCCUUGUACCUUGCCUCCUCUAGGGUUGUAGAAUGUGCCUAAUAGCCAUGGCUUGUGCGUGCUCCCCGAUGGUGAAGGUCUGACAAGGACAGCUGGCUAGUUUUCAGUGUGAAAACACCCCCUCCGUGGACCAAACACAACGACACUGACCUUUCUGCAGGGGAACCAGAGAUGUGCCUUUGACUGAAUUAGCCACAAAGACGUCUUGCUAUGACUUUUGUUCACCACGAAAGCAAAGAAAUAUUGUGUCUAAUAUGAAAAAUACUGUUCACAGCUUUUCUGUGCCCCUAAAGAAGUAUUACAGUGCUGAUUUACUGGCCCCGUUCUCUAGAAAUGGCUGGACACAAGGCGGGGUGGAGGGGUGGGAUGUGGGAAUGGGACAAGGAGGAGGAGUUGGUAAGUUAAAUUGCCUGCUGCUGUUUCCAAGUUCUCUCUGUGCAGCAGCAAAUUUAUCAAUCUUUUCACCUGACAAUACUUUGAAAUAUAUCAUUGUCAUCCCAAGUUGUUUGAUAGAUUAACUGUAGGAACACAGCCUUUUCCAAGGUCAAGUUGAAGAUUCUUGUUUGCUGUUUAACUAAGUUGUUUAAAAACUCAGAACAAUGCCUGCCUGUUAAAUUUCCACUUGUUCUCAUGGGAUAUUGGAAAGCAAAGUUUCCUGUUGACUGAGUGUGUGGACACGUCAUCUUUUUGAGUUAAAUUCAGCAAACGGGAUUAGCAAUGAGAUCAACCCCUUGCAGACACAGAGGAAAUUAAAGCCCUCUCUUAUCCUUUCAAUCUGUGUACUAAUGUUUAUGUGUGUCAGGGGCUGGUUACAGCCACACAUAUCACGUUCAGCUUUCUAAUUUUACCCCAGUGGGAAGGUACAAAUGUGCUCUUCUAAAGCAGGAAGGCACAGAAAUUGUGGCCACUCCUGUGGGGUUUUGUUGAUUGUUUAACAGAGCAUAACCUGUUGCCUUAAAGCUUCAGUAAAAAUAAAGCCAAUUCAAAACCA